rnacentral:rRNA from 1 species
CCCUUAGAUGUCCUGGGCCGCACGCGCGUUACACUGAUGCAUUCAACGAGCUUAUAACCUUGGCCGAGAGGCCUGGGCAAUCUUGUUAACGUGCAUCGUGAUAGGGAUAGAUUAUUGAAAUUAUUAGUCUUGAACGAGGAAUUCCUAGUAAACGCAGAUCAUCAAUCUGCAUUGAUUACGUCCCUGCCCUUUGUACACACCGCCCGUCGCACCUACCGAUUGGAUGGUCCGGUGAAGCCUCGGGAUUGUGGUUCUUGCCGCUUUAUUGUGGCGUGACCGCGAGAACUUGUCUAAACCUUAUCAUCUAGAGGAAGGUGAAGUCGUAACA